ensembl:lncRNA
AAUGGUUUGACCUGUAGUAUUGUAAUGUUUCUGAAUCACGCACUUUUUGGUAGGCUAUGGGAAUGUAAAUUCUAUAUGAACGUUAACUCUGAAAGAAAAAUUCAAACCACUUAUUUGUGGAAAAUGGCCUGUAAAUGAACUUCUGCAUUAGAGAAUAAAGAUGUCUUGAAGAAAUCAUAGAAAUUGUAAUUUUAUUCUGAUAAAUGUGGCAAUUUAUUCAUAUGCAUUUAACUACACUUGUUUCUGAAUUUGAAAAUGAAAUGAGAGCAUUAAAUGAAAAAAGACAGUUAAAAUAAGUGACGAUAUUUAUGUUAGGCCAAGAAGCCAGAAUGAGUGUCAUCUGCAAGUCAGAAGUUUCAUGAAAUGUACUGUAAGAUAAAGUCAGUUUGAGGAAGCACUAGCCAGCUAGCAAUUCAUUUUCUGAGAAGGAAAAGUCUUCUUGAGUAGCUUAACAAAGGCGAUACAUUCUGAAAAAUGCGUCAUUAGGUGAUUUCCUCAUUGUGUGAACAUCAUAAAGUGUGCUUACACAAACACAGAUGCUGUAGCCUACUGCACACCUAGGCUCUAUGAUACUAAUCUUAUGGGACCACCAUUAUGUAUGUGGUCCAUUGUUGAUUGAAUCAUCGUUAUGUGGCACAUGACUGUAGUGGAAUGACAGAGGCUCCUGAAGGAACUCUACUAGCAACCGUUAACCUGGAGCAGCAAGGAAAAGAGAUCAGGAUGGGUAGUGAGACAUGGGAGGGAAAGGAAGAGAAUUAAAUGCUUACCAUUGCCCUAGAGAAGAACACUAGACUUUGGGGAUCAAUUAUGGUGCUAGCUUAUGGUUUAUCCUUUAGGUGAAGGCCCAUUCUAGAGGGGGUGCAGCCCUGGUUCACUGCAAUGUGGGCAGUUAUGCCAUUUUAAAAAGGGCGCUUUAUCUCUGUUGACUUUAAGCCCCCACUACUUCAGUGCCAUAAAGGAAAAACUCACUUCUUCUGUGUGUUUCUCCUGUACUCGCACACUACUACCACACUCAUAACACAUCUGACAUCAGAUGUGUGAGCUUUUUCCCACAUCAAGCAAUUCUCUGUGACACCAGUUUGGUGUCCUACAAUUCAAUUUAAUUUGACACUAACUAGAGUUAACACAGACCCCACAGGUUAAGAGUUCAGUCCCACAAGACUGCCUCCCACUUCAGAUGCCAAUCACAAAUGGUAGGUUCCCAGGCUACCCACAACUUCUAUCUGACUUGGCUACAAAUCGGAGGUUCCCAUGACUCCUUCCUUGGAUUUCAUUAUUUCCUAGAACAGCUCACAGAACUCAGGGGAACACUUAUGUUUACCAGUUUAUUUUAUAAUAAAGGAGAUGAUAAAGAAUCAGAUGAACAGCCAGAUGAGGAGAUACCUAGGGCGAGGUCUGGAAGGGUCCCAAGAGCAGGAGCUUCUCUCCUCAUGGAGGUGGGGUACACGGUGCUCCUGGGAUGCAGAUGUGUUCACCAACCCAGAGGCUCCCUGAACGCCAUACUAUUGGGAUUGUUAUGGAGACGUCAUCACGUAGGCAUGAUUGGUUAUUAACUCAAUUUUCAGUCCCUUUCUCCUUUCUGGAAAAUGGUGGGUGGGGCUGAAAAUUCUAAGCUUCUAAUCAUGGCUUGGUCUUUCUGGUGAUCAGCCCUCGUCCAGGAGCCCACCAAGAGUCACCUCAUAAGAACCAAAGACACUGCUGUCACUCAAGGGAUUUAGGAGCUUUGUGUCAGAAACUCAGAUCAAAGACUAAAUGUUUGAACAAAAGAUUCUUCUAGCACUCUUAUUUACAAGGGUUUUAGCAAUUCUGUGUCAGGAACCUGGGGCAGAUUUUACGUGUAUGUGUAUAUAUAUAUUUCUUAUUUCACAGUGCAAAAGAUUCUGCUGGCUGAUGGCUGAAGAGUCCUUGCUAUUUCUAAAGGCUACAAAAUUAUAAUAUGACAAGGAAAAAUUAUAUUAAAUUUAAAAUUCUUUCUUUUCCAUUCAUCUGUGCUUGAAAUACUUGAAUGGGGGCACCCAUAAUUUCAAACAGACCCAUUAUAACUAGACACGUUUAUACAUCAAUGGGAAGAAGUAAAUAGAAAAUUGCCAGACGUGUAACAAUUUUGCAGUUCCUAAAAAGGAAGUAUAAGAACAUAUCCUUGUAAAUAAUUUCUAUAAGAAACAGGAAAAAAUUCCUUAGAAAUUGUCUAAUUCAUAGUUUCAACUCAGUUUGGAAUGUUUUUGUGCCUAUGAUAUCAGGAAAUGCAUUUAUAAUCAUGAAACAAUCUGAGGUCAGGAAUGAUUAAUUAGAGCUUAAAAAUAUGGUUGCUGAAUUGAAAACUGCAGAGAGACCUGUGAACAGCAGCAUCCGUUCUGUAGAAAACCAAAUCGAUGAGUUAGAAGAUCGACUUUAGGAAGUUGCCCGGGAGUUAGAAAAAAGAGUGAAGAAUAAUGAGAUAAAAUAUGAGAUCCAUGAGGACAAAUUUAGGAUAUCUAAAGUAUGUGUGAUAGAAAUUCAGGAAGGAGAAAGAACAGCAGGGAGAGAAGCGAUGAUGGACAUAACAAAGAAAGAA